GACGAACGCUGGCGGCGUGCCUAAUACAUGCAAGUAGGACGCAGUUGCGAACGGGUGAGUAACGCGUAGGUAACUACCUAUUAGAGGGGGAUAACUAUUGGAAACGAUAGCUAAUACCGCAUACUAGUAGAUGGACCUGCGUUGUAUUAGCUAGUAGGUAGGGUAAUGGCCGACCUAGGCAACGAUACAUAGCCGACCGUGGGGGGUGAUCGGCCACACUUGUAACGGGAGACGGCCCAUACUCCUACGGGAGGCAGCAGUGGGGAAUUCUCGGCACUGGGGGUAACCUGUACCGAUCCACGCCGCGGGAGUGAUGAAGGUUUUCGGAUCGUAAAGCUCUGUUGUUAGGGAAGCGGUACUUAACCAGAAAGGGACGGCUAACUACGUGCCAGCAGCCGCGGUAAUAC
rnacentral:rRNA from 1 species